UGUGAGUUCAGAUAGCAAGCUCUCGGUCA
rnacentral:piRNA from 1 species